GACGAACGCUGGCGGCGUGCCUAAUACAUGCAAGUAGAACGCACAGUUUAUACCGUAGCUUGCUACACCAUAGACUGUGAGUUGCGAACGGGUGAGUAACGCGUAGGUAACCUGCCUGGUAGCGGGGGAUAACUAUUGGAAACGAUAGCUAAUACCGCAUAAUAUUAAUUAUUGCAUGAUAAUUAAUUGAAAGGUGCAAUUGCACCACUACCAGAUGGACCUGCGUUGUAUUAGCUAGUAGGUGAGGUAACGGCUCACCUAGGCGACGAUACAUAGCCGACCUGAGAGGGUGAUCGGCCACACUGGGACUGAGACACGGCCCAGACUCCUACGGGAGGCAGCAGUAGGGAAUCUUCGGCAAUGGACGAAAGUCUGACCGAGCAACGCCGCGUGAGUGAAGAAGGUUUUCGGAUCGUAAAGCUCUGUUGUAAGAGAAGAACGGGUGUGAG
rnacentral:rRNA from 1 species